UAGGGAAUCUUCGGCAAUGGACGAAAGUCUGACCGAGCAACGCCGCGUGAGUGAAGAAGGUUUUCGGAUCGUAAAACUCUGUUGUUAGAGAAGAACAAGGACGUUAGUAACUGAACGUCCCCUGACGGUAUCUAACCAGAAAGCCACGGCUAACUACGUGCCAGCAGCCGCGGUAAUACGUAGGUGGCAAGCGUUGUCCGGAUUUAUUGGGCGUAAAGCGAGCGCAGGCGGUUUCUUAAGUCUGAUGUGAAAGCCCCCGGCUCAACCGGGGAGGGUCAUUGGAAACUGGGAGACUUGAGUGCAGAAGAGGAGAGUGGAAUUCCAUGUGUAGCGGUGAAAUGCGUAGAUAGAUGGAGGAACACCAGGGGCGAAGGCGGCUCUCUGGUCUGUAACUGACGCUGAGGCUCGAAAGCGUGGGGAGCAAACAGG
rnacentral:rRNA from 1 species